UCUAACGGGAAGUGUGUAAGCACACACGUAAUUUGCAAGCGGUGCUUCACGCUCUUCGUUAAAAU
rnacentral:pre_miRNA from 14 species